UGUACAGUAGUAUGCAGAUUUAAAAAAAGAAAACCUGGCAUCCUUUAUUCAUGAAAUUAUUAAUAGUCCUUAAAGGUAAGAGUGAGACAAACCACUUUUCUAUAGGCUAUAUACAUUGCCUUUGUUUUUGAAAGCCGACUUGGUUUCAGUUGUGAUUUCUUUGCAAGUGUUCCUCCGAAUGUCAAGAUGAGAGAGGCCUGGAGAUCUCAACAUGCCCUGUUCCUGUCUGUAUGAGUCCAAUAUUCACCCAGACGGUGUGCUCUUUCUCAAAGAAGCUUUCUGCAGUGCGUUAUGGGAUUGUGUUCUGUGUGGAGAAGGAACAGUAUGCACCUCUUUAUCUGCCCUCAGUGUUUUCUGGAUGAUGAUGUCUUUGUUCAGGAUGCUUCUGUGUGUAAUGGUCACAUAUUAGAUUCAGCCAACAGAAACGGAGACAAACAUGAGCUUGGCAGAGAAAUUAACUUUAUCCAAAUCUGAUCUUGUAAUGUUAAUUUUAGUAUUCCAGUCAUCUAUGACCAUCGCCAUAGGAAUAAUAACAUUAAAUGGUGGAGUUCUGCUCCCUCACUACUAUAAAACUUAUAAAACAUGAAGCUAAUAAAGCAAUCACUGUUCAACAGGUGAUCGGUAACGCAAACAGACUUUAAAGUCCAACAGAAGAAAAGCCAGUGUUUAAUUAUUCAUUCACAUCUAUUCUGUGUUUUGGUACAGCUGGAAAUAAACAGGCCGUUGUAUAAACUCCAAAA